rnacentral:rRNA from 1 species
AUUGAACGCUGGCGGCAUGCCUUACACAUGCAAGUCGAACGGCAGCGGACCUUCGGGUGCCGGCGAGUGGCGAACGGGUGAGUAAUAUAUCGGAACGUACUUUUCAGUGGGGGAUAACGUAGCGAAAGUUACGCUAAUACCGCAUAUUCUGUGAGCAGGAAAGCAGGGGAUCGCAAGACCUUGCGCUGAUUGAGCGGCCGAUAUCAGAUUAGCUAGUUGGUGAGGUAAAGGCUCACCAAGGCGACGAUCUGUAGCUGGUUUGAGAGGAUGAUCAGCCACACUGGGACUGAGACACGGCCCAGACUCCUACGGGAGGCAGCAGUGGGGAAUCUUAGACAAUGGGCGCAAGCCUGAUCUAGCCAUGCCGCGUGAGCGAUGAAGGCCUUAGGGUUGUAAAGCUCUUUCAGUGGGGAAGAUAAUGACUGUACCCACAGAAGAAGCCCCGGCUAACUCCGUGCCAGCAGCCGCGGUAAAGUAG